rnacentral:rRNA from 1 species
AGGACGAACGCUGGCGGCGUGCUUAACACAUGCAAGUCGAGCGGUAAGGCCUUUCGGGGUACACGAGCGGCGAACGGGUGAGUAACACGUGGGUGAUCUGCCCUGCACUUCGGGAUAAGCCUGGGAAACUGGGUCUAAUACCGGAUAUGACCUCCUAUCGCAUGGUGGGUGGUGGAAAGAUUUAUCGGUGCAGGAUGGGCCCGCGGCCUAUCAGCUUGUUGGUGGGGUAAUGGCCUACCAAGGCGACGACGGGUAGCCGACCUGAGAGGGUGACCGGCCACACUGGGACUGAGACACGGCCCAGACUCCUACGGGAGGCAGCAGUGGGGAAUUUGGACAAUGGGGGAAACCCUGAUCCAGCCAUCCCGCGUGUGCGAUGAGGCCUCGGUUGUAAGCACUUUGGCAGGGAAGAAACGGCGUGCCUAAGUACGGACGUCACUGACGGUACCUGACAGAAUAAGACACCGACUAACUACGUGCCAGCAGCCGAC